rnacentral:rRNA from 1 species
UACAGAGGUCCCAAGCGUUUGUUCGGAUUCACUGGGCGUAAAGGGUGCGUAGGCGGUUGGGUAAGUCUGUCGUGAAAUCUCCGAGCCCAACUCGGAAACUGCGUCGGAUACUAUUCAACUCGAGGAAUGGAGGGGAGACUGGAAUUUACGGUGUAGCGGUGAAAUGCGUAGAUAUCGGUAGGAAUACCAGAGGCGAAGGCGGCUACCUGGACAACUGCUGACGCUCAGGCACGAAAGCGGUGGGGAGCAAAAAGGG